UGGGGAAUAUUGCACAAUGGGCGCAAGCCUGAUGCAGCCAUGCCGCGUGUGUGAAGAAGGCCUUCGGGUUGUAAAGCACUUUCAGCGGGGAGGAAGGCGUUAAGGUUAAUAACCUUGGCGAUUGACGUUACCCGCAGAAGAAGCACCGGCUAACUCCGUGCCAGCAGCCGCGGUAAUAAGGAGGGUGCAAGCGUUAAUCGGAAUUACUGGGCGUAAAGCGCACGCAGGCGGUCUGUCAAGUCGGAUGUGAAAUCCCCGGGCUCAACCUGGGAACUGCAUUCGAAACUGGCAGGCUAGAGUCUUGUAGAGGGGGGUAGAAUUCCAGGUGUAGCGGUGAAAUGCGUAGAGAUCUGGAGGAAUACCGGUGGCGAAGGCGGCCCCCUGGACAAAGACUGACGCUCAGGUGCGAAAGCGUGGGGAGCAAACAGG
rnacentral:rRNA from 1 species